GCGCUUACUUCAGCAGCACAUAUACUAAAGUUGGAGCACUACAGAGAAGAUUAGCAUGGCCCUUGCAUAAGGAUGACAUGUGAAAAAUAUAUAGGGCCAGAGAGAUA
ensembl:snRNA U6 U6 spliceosomal RNA